rnacentral:rRNA from 1 species
GACGAACGCUGGCGGCGUGCUUAACACAUGCAAGUCGAACGGAAAGGCCCUGCUUUUGUGGGGUGCUCGAGUGGCGAACGGGUGAGUAACACGUGAGUAACCUGCCCUUGACUUUGGGAUAACUUCAGGAAACUGGGGCUAAUACCUGAUAGGAGCUCCUGCUGCAUGGUGGGGGUUGGAAAGUUUCGGCGGUUGGGGAUGGACUCGCGGCUUAUCAGCUUGUUUGUGGGGUAGUGGCUUACCAAGGCUUUGACGGGUAGCCGGCCUGAGAGGGUGACCGGCCACAUUGGGACUGAGAUACGGCCCAGACUCCUACGGGAGGAAGCAGUGGGGAAUAUUGCACAAUGGGAGGAAGCCUGAUGCAGCAACGCCGCGUGCGGGAUGACGGCCUUCGGGUUGUAAACCGCUUGCGACUGUGACGAAGCGUGAGUGACGGUAAUGGGUAAAGAAGCACCGGCUAACUACGUG